CAUCACAGCAGUGAGCAAGGCGAGCCUCCCCUUCUAGUGGGCCGAAAGACAGUGAAAUUCUUUGUUUUCAUUUUUUUCAAACCAAUAUGAUUUUGUAAUUCACAUACUCGUCACAAGUGAAGAAUGAGGCAUGGUUUUCGCAGGCUAUAUUGCUUUCAUCUUAUCCACAUAUCUGGGUAAAUUUAUCAAAGGCGUCAACAAAGAUUCUGUCAAUGUCAGCCUGCUGAGGGGCUCCAUCGAGCUCAAGAAGCUUGAGCUGUUGCCUGAUUUGCUAUAUUUUUGUGAGCACCUGCAACUAGUAAGCGGUACGAUAGGGAGCCUCAGCGUCAAGAUACCAUGGCAUUUCCUUUACAGUAAGAGAUGUGAAGUGGUUGUGCGAGAUGUUUCCAUUACAGUGGCACCCAAGCACCAGCACAGUGAUACUGCGACAGCGUUCUUUAGAUCGAAGGAGGAGUUUCUCACCGCCGUGCAAGUUGUUGUUGUGGAUGCAACGAAACAGAAAAAAACACAAUAUUCUAAGAGCGGCCUCCUUAAUCGACUUCAGCAAACAUUUCUCAAGAAUCUAGCGUUUCACCUGGAGAACCUCUCUUUUCAAUUAGAGGACAAGACCGGCUGCUGGAAAGGGCAAACCGCCAGGGUUCAGGCGCGAUUCGGUAGGCUGACGUGUGAGGCGACGGACUCGAAUUACAAGUCCACCUUCGUUCAACCUGAGGAUAGCAUUGCGAAUGAAUCGCUCUACCGCCUUGUCUCGUACGAAGGCGUCUCGGUGCGCCUGCUGUAUUCCUUCAAGGACGAAGAGCCGCUUCAACGGCGAUCAUCGCAAUUGCAGAACCUGGAGAGCGUGGACUCGUUCAUCAACGCUGAGGAGGUUUUGGUGUCCUCGGAAGGUGCUAUGGCCAUUUACUUGCAGAAGCGGUCGGCCACUGUGCAAACAGAGCCGCGCGUGUGGGCUGCGCUCAUGACCAGAAAGACAACCCUUCAGUGGAGCGCACCGUGCACCACGGCAAUCGGCAUUCUCCUUGAAAGCGUAAAGCAGGCCCCGCGUCGCGCCUUCUUUUGGGACAAUCGACCCGCUAGUCGCAUUCGAGUCGGCGACCCCGCUGGCACGUCAAGGUGGUGGUCCUAUGCAAUUGGCAAGGUGGUGACGUAUCAGAAAGCGAGGCGCGAUCGCAGAAGGUUUGACUGGGCAGCAUAUCAGCGGCGGAAGCUCUUCCUUGGCAGCCUCUUCACUUUCUGCCUGCAACUUCUGCAAGCACCUUGGAUCCCCGACAGUGAAGGACAGAGCUUGAGCGAGGAACAGCUGGUGCGGAUCUCUGCGCAAGAUGCCAUGGCGUGCUGGCAUGCGGCAAAAGAGUGCUUUGCACAGUUCCAGCGCACGAAAAGGCCGCCGCAGGGUAGCGCGUACGCGCAGUAUCUGCAGUAUUUCUAUUUGAACGAGCAGAAGUCAUGUGAGGAGCCGCUUCUGGAGUUGAGUCCUUUAACAGCGCUGCCAGCUGAGAUUGGACUCACCAUUGAGUGCGCAGAACUCGCAGUUUCUCUUGACCAAAAUCUGAGGGGUGCCACGAAUCAGGCGUACAUCGGCGUCACUGCGAGCAAAGACAAGCUAUGCGUACAGCUCUCCGCCGCCACCGCUACCGUCGUCGCCGAGGCGGACGAAGAUAAGCCCGUUCUCGCUAUCACUGGUAGCGACACCGCCGGUGUAUUGCUUAUGGCGUCAAAGGUGGGGCACUCCCCAGCCAGUGUUGAGCUCGUCAUUGAAGAGAUGGUAACGUGCCUCGACCUAUCUUUUCAAGAGCUUCUGGUUACUAAGGUGGCCUCAUACAUUGUCGCCGCAAGGCCAUUCCUGAAUCAGGACUUCUCGGAUGUCUCGAAUGCUGCGGUCCUGGUGGGGAACAAGGUGGACCACCCGGAGAUGAGAACGCAGCAGGAGCCGUUCUCAUCAUUUGGCAUCAUCGUGAAGUCCGUCACUGGGAAAGCUGACGGGGUCUGCUUGCACGCAAAGCGCGCUCAGCUAGCUCUCGCGCUGAGCAGGCCACCGGUGGCUGAAAUACAAGAAAUCAGCGCUAUUGUCAAUGAUGCCACUCUUGUGCAGCUGUGCUCGGUUGCCGUGACCCCUGCCCUGGGCAGUGAUGGCAUUCGCAUUGAAGUAGUGACCGACAGUGCCAACAUCUCCACCAACGUUGAGGGGUUUGAGUACGUGAAGCUGCUUCUUGGCUCCAUGAAGCAGCAAUGGUCUAGUCGCACGAACAACUUUGUGUCUGACCUGCAGGCUAGGCGCUCAGGCGACGCGAAACAGGAUGCGCUAUCGAAGGAGAAGUCACAGGUAAAUCUGGCACUGCGGUUUGAGUUCAUCGAGUACGGCGCGCUGGCGCUAGAGACGUUUUCCAUCCGAACCACCUUCGGUGAUGGAUGGCACAUUCACCUCAGCGCCGCCGGCGGGACAACGGAGUGGUGGUGCCACAGCAUUCCACCGCAGCCACAAGAGUCUUUCAUUGACAUUCAUGUAUGGGCAGGUGGCUUUUUGGUGUACUCGCCGUUUGCUGACAGCAUUGAGGGCAACGGCAUCGCCUUCACAUGCAAUUUCAACCACGUGACCGUGUGUCUCGGCAACGAUCUGAUAUCUAGUCUGGAGUCUCUUUACGACACCGCGAUGAUGAUUCUUUGCGACGAUGAAGACCGCCAUGUGUAUCUGAGCGAGCGCGACAAGUACACGGCCCCUCAAAUCAUCGGGCUCUUUACAGGCAGUCAUAUGAUGCUUCUUUUGGAUAGCAAAAGCGGCGACUUGACCUUGCUGCCGGGACACACUGAUACUGCAGCAGCUGCUGCUGCUAAGGCGGCGGCGGGCAGCGCUGAUUUUCGCCGCCCCGGUGCGAACCCACCACCAACGCCGCCACCGCUCACCCUGGAGCUUCUUGGCGAAGAAUGCCUACACGUCUCUCUGCAGCGGUACGGUGACAAACGCAUGGAUAUCCACGUCGCGCUCCAGAGAGGUGUGAAUGCCUACCUCAUCGGUGCACCGGCGCACAUUCCUCUUUUCGUGCCGCGAGACAGUAUGCGCGCAGAGGUGGAACUUCAUAUGUGUGCGCCAAGUGACGUGGACUUACCCAUUUUCCCGUACGGCCGACUGAACGUCGUUAUGAAGCUGUCCAACGUGGGGACCGUCAUGCAUAUUCCAACACUAACGGCCGUCUGGACGUACUUCGACACACCGUCGUUGCCGCUGUGCCGCCUGCGUAACAUCGGCUCGCGCCUCCUUUUUUCCUCUCGCCCCAGCCAACCCGGUGCGACACUCGCGCCGCGGUCGCCUGCCUCCGCCUCCGUGGAGGCGGUUGGCGCGGCCGCCUUUGCCCGCAUCUCGCGCCCCUCAGAAGGUGGGGCAAGAAGCGCCUCUGCGCCGUUGUCCACGCUCGCCCCGUUUGGCAUGUACUCGACACCAGUAUUUCCAUCCGAUAUGCGCCUGAGCGUCGAGAUCUCUGAAUCGGAGCUGUACUAUCCAUGGGGCGAAGGCAGUGUGGCGCCGCUGUACCUGCACGCCGAGUUGACAAACUGCGAAGUUGUCAUGCUGAGCCGAGACGGAUGUGUUGAGGUGACUGUGCGAGGGUUUCUGGCAAUGCCCCGCGUCAGAGCCGCCCUGCACACCUUCCCACGUGCGAUGAGCGAGACGACAGCACAGUGCGCAGAGGCGAGUACCACGCGCACCGCCGCUGAAAGCCGUGACGAGCAUGGGACGUAUGAGAAAGCACCGCCAUGGAGAACGUCCGAAGAGCACACCGCACGGCCCUGCAGCAGCCAAAGCGCCAGCAGUACCGCGCAACAGACGAGCCGAGGAGCGCGCGCCGCGCAUUCGCCUGCCGCAGCACAAGCUGCCUUUCCGAGCGAAGAGUACUUGGCGGCACCACAACACUGUGCAUCACCGCCGCUGGCCUCGUCCCUCAUCCAAGUGCACGUGGUGUACACAAUGGACAGCCGCCCGCCGUUCUCUCCGGAAAGCCCCGACGAGUCUCUGCGAGUCUCCCUGACUGCCACCGCUGUGCCCGGCAUCGGCGCACUGCCGGGACCUUUGCACGCAAGCCUGCGCUCGCCGGCUGAGGUGGCGGCGUGGCUAACCUUCUUCACAUUUUUCAAUCUCACCAACACGGUCCCGCUCUCCACGUCGAGCUGCGUGGCCACCGCGUCACCGACGUUUGUGUCAGCGGGGAACAGCACCAGUGGCGGUAGCGGCGGCAGCAUACCCACAGCUGCAGCGCAGAACCCGCGCCGCCUCAUCAUGAACGUACACACCUCUCCGAUCGUGUUCCAUCUGCCCUUCGCAGCGGCGGCAGCGGUGCUGUGGGAGGGCCUGGAUUUUGUGGCCUCACCCGGCUACAGCGUGUUGCGUGUACCGAAGCUAGAUGUGUUGGUUCAUGAGCAGCUGUGGUGCACCGCAGCGACAGGGGUAGCGACGUCGGUGCAGCGGCUGGCGACGUUGCGCGAUAACGGCUACGCUGUUCUGUCUCUUCGUAGCAGCAGUAGCGGCAGCAUAGGCGAGAUGGAUAUGAUGCCUGCGAUACUGUUCGAGUCGCACGCUACAGGGCCAACGGCGGCCGAGGUGCGCCGGCGAUUAGUGCUGCCCGCUAUUGUAGGGCAUCUUGCCCACGCCACCACUCUCGUGCAGCUACAGAAGUGCUUCACACUUGCAGCCGUGAGCGCAGUUUUUGCAGCUCGAAACGCGCAGACUGCCCUGCUGAAUGCCGUAAUUCUGCAGGAGAGUCAGCGCAGGAAGCUGCGCUACGCAUGCUGCUGCACCACAUCCACCGGCGGUAGUGGUAGCAGCAGCUACAGCAGCGGUACGGACGCCGACGCGGAGGCGCAGCUGCUGCCCUUAAUUUCCCCACCCUUGGCUAUCCACAUCCAUAGCGGCUGCCUCACGUUUGAGUGGAUGAGUGGACUACAGCAUGGCCUGCGAGCGGGCGUGACGGUGGCCUUCGCGAAUGCGCGGUGCAACGAUUACGACGUGCACAACCACCUCUCAGCCGCCCAGCCCGCCGACGACAGCUGCGAUACCACCGCACACUGUCCACAGCGCUUUCCUCUAGCGCUUUCCAUGCCGCUUAUCGUGGAGGUGGAGGCAGUAGAGGCGUACGUUUGGUGGGCUAACGCAGAGCGCACCAGCACGGCCGAAGCCGCUGUCGGCGAAGAGGUCGCAUCGCUCGAUGGCCCGCAGUCAACGAGUAAGCAGCACCCCGGCGUGCCAUUGGUGACAGCUUGCAUGCCACUUCUACUUUAUCCUUUUCAGGUGCACACGCGCAUCGACACCGCCGCGCAGGUGGCGGGCACGGACACAGGGGAAGCCGCACAUGAGAGAGGUACCGCCGCGGCUGCAGCCUCGGACACCUGUCUAUCUGUCCAGCAGGAGGACGCGCGCGUAGCGACAAGCGAAGAAGAGCUGGUGCUCAGCUUUGCGGUGAGCAGCGGCGACGGCACCAUCGGCACAGCUGCGCGCCGCUCGCAGUCGCUCUCCAGUGCAACGCUUCACACAAUGCCGUCGACCCCCAGCGACAGAAGCAGUGUCACGGCGGCAGCGGUACCCACAACUAUCAUGUACCCCAUGCGUCCCGCUGAGGCACUGCCGACGUCUGUCUUCCUAGUGACCCCAAUUCACGUCGUACUCAACAACUCUGCAUACAUCGUGCUGAGCGAGAUGUUGCUGCAUAAGGUUCAGGGGACGAGUGCAGCGACAGCAGCUGGAGCUCAGGGUGCGGUGGCGGAAGCAACACCGCCUGUCUCGCAGGGCGUCGCGAUCGUCAGUCAGUACUACCUCAAGCACUGUGUCGUGGAGCCUCCGACGGCAGCGCGAGGCAGUGCCACAACAUCCAGCGCCUCCCUCUCCUCACCUUUCCCACCGCUCGCCUGCAGCAGAAGUGAGCCGAGCAGCUACACUAGGAGCGCUAGAAACGGUUUUGGCGGCAGCUCCGGCGGGCAUGCGUCUUCGUCGCUGGUAAGAGCGCAGGCGGUGCGCGCGAAGACGAUCUAUGUGUUCCGUUACGACAGCGCACAGAAACAGCGCGUGUGGGUGGAGAGCCAGUCUCAAACAUCAUGGCAACUUGACCAACAGCAGCCGAAUGGCGACAACUCGGUCGAAAAAGACGAAGAGCGUGGCCUCAAGCCGUCCCGUAAUGGCGCGGCCGAGAUCGCUGAAGUGGAAAAGCGUAGCGUGCCGAUGAGUCACACACCCCUCAGCUCGCUGCACGCGAUGGACGGGAUGCGGAUGCUGGAAGCACCGGCAGUGCACGAUGGCCCCGCCAACCUACGAGGUACAAGGAUUCAUGAAGGUCCUUCGAAGUUGUCAUCGUCGUCGGCGGUGCAAGAGGAAAAGCGCCGAGAGCCUCAUCAGCACCCUCGCCCGUCUGCGCACGUCACGAUGGCCGUUCCAACGUUGAGCCCACAGGCUGCCACGCAGCCUCGUUUGCAGAUGCGCAUAACUGUGGCAGAGGUGUGUCUUAGGCUCGUCUACUACCGCGAUGUUGAAACAGUCGCCGCCGCAGUCUCCGAGGAGCGCGCUUUCUGGCAGCGAUACGCGGAGGUCCAUGCCUCAGCGCGACGCGCAGCAGCAGCAGCAAGUCCUGUGUCAGCUACUACGACCCAAACGCCGUGUCUCAUGACAUUCCUCGCCGCCAGUGUUGCACCUCUGCGAUCACUCUACCCAGCCAGCACGAACAGCAGCACCGCACGAAGUCGCAUAAACAGAAGUGCCAGCCCGCUGGCGCGCAGCCGUACUCCUCUGCGGUGGGGCCAAUUGCCAGCGUUACCGGCAUCUGCGCAGCAGCAGUUGCUUGCCCCCACCGCCAUGCUCGAGGAGGCGUGUGUGGAUGCUUUGUGCGUACGGCUAAGUGGCAUCAUCGUGUCCAGCUUCACCGACGCGAGAUCUGUCCAGCUCGAGUCGUGCGUGUGCACCUCAGUGAAGAGUCCCAGUCGGCCGCUCCUCUCCACGACUCAGGUGGAGCUGUACGUACCGUCCUCCGCUGUCGCAUAUCCGUCGGCAGGGGAAGCUGCAAAGACGGUGACACGAGACCUUCAAGGCGCUGCGUGGGUGACGAAGGUCCUGCGAGGCAUGGAGACUGCGCCCGAGGCAGAGAGUGUCGGUGCAUCUCCAACGAUGUCGCCAAAGGACACAAACGCAAUCGCUGCACCAUCGGCGCCGGUGUUGCCGCAGCCGCAGCCUUCCGAUCCGACAAGACAGGCAGAAAAGAGCCACUUGGCCGACUCGCCAUCAUUGGCAGCAGCCCCUACUGCAGCCUCGACAAGCGUCAAUGGCUGGAACUGCAACGGCGAUGGGGGCCAUAGGCAGGCGAUUGUGAUGCAAGGUGAGGUGGGGUGCCGCCUAGAGACGUUGACUAUCGACCUCAGCGCAGCCGCGUUGCGUGCUUGGUUAAGCUGCCUCGUCGAGCAGCCGGUCGCUGCGCUGCGGGCCGCUACAGAAAAGGAGAAGCGCGCGGAGCCUGUAGCCGACAGGUCCCAGCACGCUGUCGCCGUUGCCACGACGACACCAAUUCUGUCACCCGUGCAGUGGAAGCCUGGCCAAGGUCUGCGCGUGCACGAGAUUCGCGAGGCCUUCUGGGAACUCGAGCACGACAUCACCCUCUCCCGCGAUGGCCUCGUCCUUGUAUUCUCCAGUCAAGAAACAAAUUUACUGACGGUGUACCUCAACGGUCACGACAUCACGCUCGACCCCUCACUGCUUCUCCGCCCGGCAGGGCUGCAGCGGGUGGUGAUGGUGGUGCAGGGCGGACUCACCGUUCGCUUUGUCGGCAGCGGCCGUGUGCGGCUCCCGCUUGCGCUGUGGAGCUCAUCCCUGGUGGAGACGACGGCGAACGUUGGUCUGGAGACGGCGCUACUGCCCUUCAUGGCGAUUGGCGAGGGGAGCUACCUAGAAUGCCCCCAGGUGCGGCUGGGCUUUACGGAGCCCCCGGCAGAGAGUUCAGCGGGGGGUGGCAAUGCUCGUGAAACGGCUGCUUCGUCCCAAAGACCUGUGCCCGACUCGUUGGCCUUCAUCUCGAAAGCCUCGGCAGCAGGGGUCAAAGCCGCGGAGGGAAGCGAGGAUGCAAGCGUGGACGCGUCGCCACCACCGCCUCCGUCGUCGCAUGCAGACCCACACCAGUCGCAGCUUGUGCACCGCAAUGUGCAUCUUUACAUGCCGCACAUCUCAGCCAUCAUAGAGCCGCGACGAGAAUCCCGGCAGCUGCGCAUCCGCACAGCGGUGGAGUCGUGGAUGAGCCUCUGCAACGGGCAGCUGCUGCGCGACGACGUGCGAUGCACCGGAUUCAUGGUACUUUCGGAGUCUAUCUACGACGCAGCCACGACGACGGCGCGCACGACGGUGCUGGGACCUGUUGACGUGAGCGUGUGCAGCAGCAACGGGCGGCAUCACGCUGUCUCGCUGGGGCCGGUGCAGGUGGACCUUGGUCGCUCAGACCUACUGAUCAUGUCCACUUACGCUGGAGAGCUGCAGGCUCUUCGGUUGUAUGCCAAGCACCUGACCCACAGCAAGGUAGAACGGGCGUUCCUCGAACUCGUAGAGGCCACCUUGGCAUGGAAAGCGUCAGCGGCUACCACGAACAACACCGGCGUGCACGGCGAGGAGGAUGAACACGACAGUGAGUUGUACGACGGCGCUGACUCCAGCGACAAGAGCGAAGAGAAGGAGGGGGGUGAGGAGAGGCGCAGCAGUGGCCCUCGUGGAGGUGCUGCGCGCGAACAAACUGUGGCGGCAGUCCCGCCGUUGCAAACCGACUUCGCUCGCGCCAGCCAUACCAGCGACGCCUCCGGGGCGACCGCAAGUACAGCAGCAGUAAGAGAAGGGGCGAUGACCAUCGACCGGCCGCGGUCAUCGUCGACAGGACCACGCAAAGAGAGCCACAGACAGCCAUCGCGGCCCGCCACCCCGCAGGGCUCUGCAACACGCAGAACUGGCACGACGAAGGCGCUCCUGCGCCAGUUUGUUGCAGAGGGAGGCGAGGUGCAGGAAGAGGUGCGUUCACGCAUUUGUGCGGAGGACGACCAGAUGCGCCUCAUACCCACUGUCGACGUGCGACGGCAGCAGCAGCAGCAGCAGCAGCAGCAGCAGCAGCAGCAGCGGCAGCGUAGGCGCCAGCGGCUUCUUCGGCGGCGGCAGCCACGUGGGUUCUCCUGGGUGGUGUUUACUCCCUCCGUCGAGGUCAUUUUCAGCGACCACCGCUACCCACUCAUGCAGGUGUGCGUACAGGACGUCAUGGUACGUCGCACAUCCUCCUCGGCCCUCGCCUCCACCUCCCUGGUGCGGUGCCAAAGGGCCAGCGUGCGGGUCCACGGGCGUGGUCGCUGGGACGUGCUACUCAAGCCGAGCGCGGCACUGACGUGGUCGCUCACGCAAACGGUGUCGCGCCACAGCAGCAACCGGCAUGUCUCCUUGGUGGUGGAAGGGGUCCAUUGGCAAUGCUCUCACCUUAUCGUGGCAAAGUUGCUUUACAUGAAUCACCAAUUUAGCACCCUGGCGACGAGCCUUAGGCGGCGCCUGACCAUGGCGGCCGCUGCAGGGGGAGAGGCAAGCAGUGCGGCAGCACCGGCAUCGGUCGCCCACGUGGCAAUGGCGCCUGCUGUGACGAAAUUCAGAGGCGAAGACGACUCAGGAAGGGAUACCAGCAGCGACACCACAGCGGGCAGCGCCUCUGUUAGCACAGAUGGUGACGACGGCAACGACAGCGGGCACAGUAAGAGGAGCAGCAGUAGUAGCCGGCAAAGCAAUGCCAGCACCGAAACAUUCUCGGACACGAGCUCUCGGCGUCAACGACGGCAGCUGCGACAGGAUGCGGUGGCGAUGGGGGCCGGCGGCCAGAGCGCCGACUCUUCUCUGACAAUGGAGGCGGCACCAUCAUCACUAUCGUUUGUCGCUUCUUCCGUCGUGGUGAACGAAGUCCCUGCCACUGCCGUCACUACCGCCGCCGGCCGCCUCGCGGCGACGAUGCGGCCGUCUCAGCGUGGCGGCUACCGCAGGCCAUCUGUGACCGCAGGUGCGGGGACACCCGUGACGACUGCAGCCGUUUCUCCGGGGAUGGCGACACACCGCCUACUAAACAGUUUCAGCCACACCCUCUUUGCCGGCAUCUGUGAGCGCGUGGAGGUGGCGAAGGUGUCGGCGACGGCAACGCCUGACGUGCUGAGUGCAGCAGCCAGAUCGGCAGACCCUUCAUCAUCGCGGUCCACAGCAGAAACAGCAGCACCGAUGUUGUGGCGCUGCAACGAGCUCUACCGGCUGCCACCAUCUUCCACUACCGACAUCUUCAUCUCAUACCGCCGCGCCCACUCGUUGAUGCUGACCUUCUUCACAGCCGAGUGCGUCGAGUGGGACGGCGUGAACUGCGCCUGGACACUGAAUGCCAAGGGCGAGACAGCGCUGGCAGCAAGGGCAAUCGUUAGCACCGCCAAGCCGUCGCCAACGGUGCCUCCUCUGAGGCAGCAAAAGCAGCUGGACACCUCUCGCGGCGCUGUCUCUGCCACGACAACGAACUGGUUCGCCUUCACGUCCCUGCAGUACGGCAUGGCGAGGGCUUUGACCGUAAGCACCACCGCAUCCAGAGGUGCGGCGGCCACACCCGCCACGGCGACAGGAAUCAGUGACUAUGGCGGCGGCAAUGGGAAUGGAGGGGGCUGCAAGGUGCUUGCCUACUCGUUAGCGCUGACCUGUGUAGACGCGGAGGAAGAGGCAGACACGUCACGCUACCCCAUCGUGGUCGCCAGCGGAGAAGGUGGCCACGAUGCCUUGACGCCUGUCCCGCAUCAGCAGCAGCAACACCGAAGACAUGCUCGCCGGCGGUCCUUCACCGCGUCCUCGGCCGACGCCUCCGCACUGCUCUCCCGCAGCGCUUCGUCCAUGUGCGUGGGCUCGCUGAAGAAGGGCGGGGCGCUGCUGGGCGGCAGCACUCCAAAGGGUGCCGCUCCUCAAAUGGCACGGGGGAGCAGCAGCAGCAGCAGCAGAGCCGGUGCAAGUCACCGCACUUCCGACGACUUCGUACCUGCUCAGUGUGAAGAGCCGCUGCUACACAGAUCCCACGACCGUUACGAUCGCCUGCAGAUGGUACAGUGUGGCGCCGCUUCAACCCACUCGCUCCCGGAUCAGCGACGAAGCAGCGCUACGAUAUCGACGACGACAGGAAACCAGAAACCCGCUGCCCAACGGAGCGCACGGCCGCACAGCCGCAACACCGCCCGUGUCCCGCCAGCGGUGCACCGUGGGCGCCUGCAGCUACCGUAUCACGUCAAAGCAGCAACCACUCCAAUGGCUUCAUGGCAGGAUACUGAGGGAGGUGGCGGGGACCUUCUCGUCGUGCGCCUGCAAGCACGAAGCUCUCUCUUCAACGAAACCGGCUGCACGCUGCAGCUGCUGCCUUCACUGCAACUGCUCACAGCGCCCAACUCGGUCGAUGGCGCCCCAUCCUUGCCUGCGACAUUGACGACGGUGCCACCAGGCUGGCAGCUCCCGUUGAAUGAAGAGGACGUGCACAACGAGGUGGUGCUGCGUGUGUGCUGCCCCUCGACUCGGUGGAUGCCGUCGCCGGCAGCAUCGAGUGCUACCGCGGCCUCCUCUACCGGCAUGACCGUCUCCGGGCCCACGGCAGGUGUAGCGGAGACGAUGGACAACGCUACGACGCACCUGUGCUGGUAUGAGACGCGCACCGUUCUGGGGCAACUCCAAAGCGGCCGCUUUCUCUCCUUCAGGCGCGUUGAUUUAGCGGGUGACGCGGCCGGUCCACCUGUAGACGUAGCAGAUGCGGCAACAGCGAAAGACUUGGCGAGUUCCUUGCACAGAUGCGCCACUAGCCACACCCGUGACGAUCAUGAUGAGCGGCUGCUCAUACUGUUUGUUAUCCACACGUAUUCCGCGGACGGGCUGAUGCAGCAUAUCUCCCUAUACCCCCGCCUCACGCUUAUCAACCACCUCGGCCUCACCGCGCGGGUGGUGGUUUUUCAGCAGGACCCGCUUGCCGGCCCACAGACCCCAGAUGAGGCCACGCUGAUCGCACAAUGGACAGCGCCACGUGUCGGACGUGGGCUUCACGAUCAAGAACGUUUUUACCGCAGCCUUGUCGCCCUCGGCGCCCACGAUGCUCUUCCCCAUCAGCACGCCCUCCCGCUCCACUUCUGCACGUACGGCAGCAAUCUCGUUCUGGGCCUGUCGUUCACCCAGAGCACCGGCGACGCCUUCUUCACAGCGGACCUUGACCCAGUCGUCACACACCUGCGUGAUGCCGUGGAUCGCCACCCGCGUCUGCUGCAACUGCGUGACAGCCACGGGCGGGCCUUCUACGUGCAAGUGAGCGUGAUGUCCCGCACGGUGGUGCUUUCAGUGGCGUUGUGGGUGUACAACCUGACCGAGUACCCGCUGCUCAUGAGCGACGGCUUUCUGCAGCGCCGCCUCUGCCCAGGGCAGAACAGCACCAGCGGUAUCAUCCCGUCGCAGGGGGAACCGUUCCUGAUUGGCUGCCAGCUCGCUGACUUCACGCAGGGUUUCUUUGCGAUCGGGAUGGACGGCAGCUGGUCCAGUGCGGUGCCCAUCGACGUCGGCUCCAGUGGCGUGUUCGUCUCCGCCUUGUCGCGGCUCGGCAUCACGCGCAGCUGCAACUACUCGAUUCUCUUUCCAAACGCGCAGGAGGGGCGGCCCAUGGUCAUCCAAAUCACGCCACGGUGGGUCUUCUACAACAACACGCCCAAACAGCUGCGACUUCAAUUUCGGUUUCCUGGACUGGAAACGGCAAUGCAGCAGGCAGAGAAGCGGCGACGACGUUUGCGGAUGCGGGAGAUGGACGCCAGAGCAGCAGAAAACGACAUCGAGGCCGCCGCAGUGCCUUUCGAGGCUGCUGGUGCGACCCUGCAGGGGGCGCGGCACCGACUUCUCCUCGAGGCCGACGACACCGUCGGCGCCCUCAACUCCAUCGCAGCGGUGCAGCUGAACCCCGGCGACUACCACGUGAGCUGCAUCGGUCCAAUUGAGGGGAACCAAUUCCGAGUGCAAGAGAUGUUGCAAGGGAUACUGCCCGCCAUUACGUCCAUCCACGCCGCAGGUCGUGUUGGACAUCGCGACGUAUCGUCCUACUAUGAGUCGCAGUACACCCCGUACAUGGAUGUCGACCGCCCAGGGGAGGCAACGUUCAACCUGUGGGCAGCGCCUCGCGCGCUGGGGAAGCAGGUGGCCGUGAACUACGGCAGUGACUUGAUCGUGCAGCGGCCGUCGGCGCCGCACCCGACAGAGCUGGAGCCGCAUGACAUGUACUCGGCCGACGCCGUCAUCACGGGACGCAUUGCCGUGGCGGUGCAGAGCGCGGACGAUGUGCUGGCGGUGCUUCUGCAGCCGAUUCAGGGAACGAAGAUCCUCUUACAGAACCGCACGGAGUCGCACACCGUCAUGGCGCGACAGCUGGGCAGCAGCCGCCGCAACCGCAUCCCGCCUCGCCAGAAUCGAUUUUUCCUCUGGGAGGACGCGCGUCAGGAACACACCAUCCGCGUGCACCUUCUUGGCUACAAGGGCCGCUGGUUUGAUGUGGACUUCAGCGCCGGUGAGUGCCAGGUGACGCGCCACGUCGACACCGAGGCCGCGGCCGCCGCUGAGGCGCUCGACCAUGCACGCCGGCUGCACCCGCACCCGACACAGGUAAAACUGGAGGCGGAGCUGCACGGACGGACGGCGGCAGCAGCGGACUUUUCAUUCCACGUGCGCGGCUACACAAACACUGAGAAGACGCUCGUCACGAUCCUGGUGACAGAGACCCCUGUGCCGGUCUACGCUGCCAUCGACUCGUGGCGCACUUCGCAAGCCGUGUCGCUACGAAUGACGAUGGUGCAGCUGAGCUGGACACAAGAGAUGAGCACACACGUGGCGACCGCAGCAAAGUUCGCGACGCCGUUCGCGAUCGAUGACGGUGGUGAUGGGGUAGUCGACAGCGGUGCAUCUGGUGUGGCGAUCGCGCCCGCCGAGGGCACGGAUCGUGGCGGCGAUACCGUGACGGCCGCGCCGCCAUCCAGCGUGGCGAACGCAGCCCUCUUCUCCAUCAUCCUGGAGGGGGUGCAGCUGGAGCGCCUCGCCACGGAGGACAACGAAAACUUCUACCUCGCCGUGCACCAAAUGCAGUGGGUAGAUGAAAAGCGGAAGGCCGUAUUUGUCUACCGGGCGCGCCCACGCCUCCCGCCGGCCAUGGCUAUGCUGCAGGCUGCAGACGCAGCACAAGGCAGCGCAAGUGUAGCGGCGCCGAUGCUUCGAACGCCACGGCUCUCCUCAUCCUCCCCAUCUUCUCUAUCCUCGCCCUCAUGUGCAAAGCCGAACCCGAGCGACCGCGCUGGUAGCCUCACCAGGCGACGGCAGCUACAUCGCGCCGGCUCCCCUGCCGUCGGCACAGCUGCAGCUGGUGCAAAGAGCCGCGACGUCAGUAGUGGCGGAUAUGGAGCGCUUUUGGAGCCCAUCACCGCCACCGCCAACCGCCUGCUCAGCACCGCUCUCGGCCGCAGCAACGCGUUUCUCCUCUGCAUGGAGAAGCAGAACGACCUGGAGAUAAGCUACAGCCUCAUCAAGUAUGCUGAUGGCGUGACGCGCUACACAGAGCUGCGCCACGUCCUAACCCCGCUAGUCGUAGUGCUGACCGACUUUUUGGUGGUGGAUAUGAUCCAGGAGGUGCGUCGGCUGCGAGUGCUGCUCGGCCUUCGCAAGCAGACGGCCGCCUCACAGACCACCACGACGUCGCCGGUGGUGUUGACGGUCUCCUCGCUCCGGCAGCAGCAACGGUCAACGUGGCGUGCCUUCGGAGACGAGGACACGGGCAGCGGUGUGAUGGUUGGGGUGCCUGGCAAACAGGCGUUUUCCAAACCUUGUGCACGCCCCCCCUCAUGGAAGCUGGGGCAACGCAGCGGCAGUGUGGUCGUGGUGAACGGCGACACGGAGGCAGACGUCCUGCCGUCAGAGCAACCGACCCUUGCAGCUCAAGCGGCGCCUCGGCGCCGGUCCCCAAACGAACGCACCAGCAGCGAAGACGCGGUGCAGCGGCGCGGACGACAAACCGACCCGCUGUCGCGAAGGGGCAGUCGAGACAGAAGCCGCGACGGCGACAAGAGCAACGCAACGGCGGCAUCGUCCGUGCACACAAGACGCACUGGCAGCAGUCACACGUACGAUAGCAAGGCGGGCAAGAUGCGCAGCGCCACGAGGCGCUUGACGACAACUACGCCAACCUCCCCACGCCGCUCGGGCCCGUCAUGUGCCGUGAUCGCUGCCACCGCCGUCGCAGUGCCACCGCAGCAGCAGCACCAGCAGGGAGACGGCAACACUGCCGGCUUUCUUUCACAAGCCUUCUUCCUUCAAAAACUCGUUCAGGAAGUGCGCACACGCCUGGAGCAGCGGGGGACGGAUGCGAUGGCCGGGUCGCUGGCCGCCCUCGCCACUCGAGGAGAGAAGCAGCUGCAGCCUGGUAGUGGGAAACUGUUGCUCCUGCCUGGAGGAAUCGCCGGUGCAGGCCCCCAGGCGCAACAUCGGCAGCUGCUGCGCGGCGCCACCUCGGCUGCUGUGCGCCAUUACCAAAGCGCGAUGCACUGCGGUGGUCCCGGCGAUGGUCUUGCAGGGGUCACGACCGUAGACGCAGACGGGAGCCGCGCGGUGGCUGACGUGGGGAGCAGCGGUGCCAGGGCUGCAGGCGACGGAGGAGUUGGCAGCGUCAGCACAGCCUCGUUCAUGUUCAUCGAGCGACUGGAGGUGCAGCGCGUGACGCUGUACGUCACCUUUGUUCGCCACAGCCCCGACCCCCUGCGACCGUUGCUCGGCGCCUAUGCAUGGAUGCUACCCAGUCAGCUAUGUCAGCGGGAAUUCUACCUCCCCGCUUGGACGCUGACGCGGCAGGUGGAAACACCCGCGUCGCUGCGAGCGCGUCUUGUGCGGUGGGGGAUGCACAGCUUGCGCGAGCAGUGGACCAAGGUGACGAAGCUCGGUACGCUGCUGGACGCGCUGAAGUUCUGGCAGCAUAGGACGCUGCUUCUGCACGGUGCCCCGCGACCCUUGACGCUCUCCCGCGUGCAGCAGCAGCAACAGCAGGAGAGGGGUGGGGGCGGUGGGCAGCCACUCGCUACCUUCGCCCCAUGCAUAUCAUCGGGUGAAGAAGAGAACGAUGAAAACACGGACGAUGACAGCGGCAACGCGGAUCCACAAAGGGGCGGUGCGCAAGUGGAGAGCCCCAUCGCUUUCAUGAAGCAGCGGCAAUGAUGGCCGCGGAAGGCGUAGCGGGCAAGGUAUGAAUGCAUAGGUAACCCAUCUUCUUGAAGGGUCUCUGUGGGUGUGUCUCUCUUUGUGGGCCACUGCCGUGUCAUCGGCCAAGUGCUAUGUCAGCUUCAGCCCACUCCCACUCUCUGACGCAUGGACAACGAUUGCAUCACGCCUUGGCGUCCUUGCGCUGCUUAGCAUCUUACACAUGCACCAGACACCCAUGCACACACACACGUUUGGAUCUGAGCGCUACAUUGGCGAUUUCACGCGAGCGUGUAAGGGGACUGCUGUACGCAAACGCCUCAAAUGCGGAACACACAGAAGUCAUGGCACACGUGACUCUCUACGCGCGCUGCGACGGGGCGAUGAUGGCAUCCGUAAAAGUGCGCCGCAUCUCUUCGCCGUAUUCACCGCACCUCACCCUUGGAGGCGGUGGGGUGGGGCCUCGCGCACGUGGUGUGACGUCUGCCGCCCCCCCCCCCCAGCACUCUCUGUGUUCGAUUCCCUCUCUUUCCUCCUCCACCACAUUUUUUU
rnacentral:misc_RNA from 1 species